CUGCCAGAGUACUACAAGCAACAGCUUAAAAUUCAAANGACUUGGCGGUAUCCCAAAACCCCCCAGAGGAGCCUGUUCUAUAAUCGAUAACCCACGUUUUACCUUACCAUUUUUUGCUAACUCAACCUAUAUACCGCCGUCAUCAGCCCACCUUUUGAAAGACUAAUAGACAGCUAAACUGAACAUUACCAAAUACGUCAGGUCAAGGUGUAGUAUAUGAAAUGGACAGAAAUGGGCUACAUUUUUUUACAAAAAAUAUCACGACUAAUAUUAUGAAAAAAUAUUUAAAGGCGGAUUUGGUAGUAAAAUAAGAUCACCAUACUUAUUUUAAACCGGCCCUGGGAUGCGC
rnacentral:rRNA from 1 species